UAUAUACUCCCUCCGACUAAAAAUACUUGUCGCAUAAAUGGAUAAAAAUGGACGCAUUUAAAACUAAAAUACGACUAGAUGCAUUUAUUCCUCCGACAAGUAUUUCCGGACGAAGGGAGUACUUG
rfam:Triticum aestivum genome assembly, contig: Triticum_aestivum_CS42_TGACv1_scaffold_328957_4BS